GCGGCAAAAGCUCAAAUUUGAAAUCUGCGUAAGCCGAGUUGUAAUUUGAAGAUGGCUACUUUGGUAAUGGCUCUUGUCUAUGUUCCUUGGAACAGGACGUCACAGAGGGUGAGAAUCCCGUGCGAUGAGAUGUCCAUUACCGUGUAAAGUGCUUUCGAAGAGUCGAGUUGUUUGGGAAUGCAGCUCUAAGUGGGUGGUAAAUUCCAUCUAAAGCUAAAUAUUGGCGAGAGACCGAUAGCGAACAAGUACAGUGAUGGAAAGAUGAAAAGAACUUUGAAAAGAGAGUGAAAAAGUACGUGAAAUUGUUGAAAGGGAAGGGCUUGAGAUCAGACUUGGUAUUUUGUAUGGCUUGCUUUCGGGCGGGUCCUCUGCAGUUUACUGGGCCAGCAUCGGUUUGGGUGGCAGGAUAAUAGCAUUGGAAUGUGGCUCUACUUCGGUGGAGUGUUAUAGCCUUUGUUGAUACUGCCUGCCUAGACCGAGGACUGCGUCUUUUGACUAGGAUGCUGGCAUAAUGAUCCUAAGCCGCCCGUCUA
rnacentral:rRNA from 1 species